AACGUAGGACGCGAGCGUUAUCCGGAGUGACUGGGCGUAAAGGGCGUGUAGGCGGUUACCUAAGUGGCUCGUGAAAGCUCCCGGCUCAACCGGGAGAGGACGGGUCAGACUGGGGGACUGGAGGGCGCUAGAGGGACACGGAAUUCCGGGUGUAGUGGUGAAAUGCGUAGAGAUCCGGAGGAACACCAGUGGCGCAGGCGGUGUUCUGGGGCGCACCUGACGCUGAGACGCGAAAGCAUGGGGAGCGAACGGG
rnacentral:rRNA from 1 species